AUACUUACCUGACCAAGGAAGAUUCCAUGAUCAUGAAGGUGGUUUUCCCAGGAUGAGGCUUAUCGAUUGCAUUCCAGUAGUGCUGACCCUGAGAUUCCCAGAUACAGGAAAAAAAACUUGACUGCAUU
rnacentral:snRNA from 10 species